rnacentral:rRNA from 1 species
GACGCACCGGGCGAACGUUGUUCGGAAUAACUGGGCUUAAAGGGCGCGUAGGCGGGCCGCCAAGUUCGAGGUGAAAUCCUCCGGCUCAACCGGAGAACUGCCUCGAAUACUGGAGGCCUCGAGGCGGGUAGGGGCACGCGGAACUGUGGGUGGAGCGGUGAAAUGCGUUGAUAUCCACAGGAACUCCGGUGGCGAAGGCGGCGUGCUGGACCCGAUCUGACGCUGAGGCGCGAAAGCCAGGGGAGCAAACGGG